rnacentral:rRNA from 1 species
UACAGAGACUGCAAGCGUUGUUCGGAUUCAUUGGGCGUAAAGGGUGCGUAGGCGGUGAGAUAGGUCGGAUGUGAAAUCCCAAGGCUUAACCUUGGAAGUGCAUCCGAAACUGUCUUGCUCGAGGACUGGAAGGGAGACUGGAAUUCUCGGUGUAGCGGUGAAAUGCGUAGAUAUCGAGAGGAACACCGGUGGCGAAGGCGGGUCUCUGGACAGUUCCUGACGCUGAGGCACGAAAGCCAGGGGAGCAAACGGG